GGGGUGCACUCUUGUUCAUGGGCCCUUUCCCUCUAUAUUUGAACCCCAUGGACCGUCUCUCGAGUCGUUCCCUUUGGUUGCUUACAAUCCACCAUGCUUCCCUGCAAGUUCACGCCCUCGUGAACGGAAGCUGAGAGCCGCAGCUCUCCCGAGAGCCCCGCUCUCUUGACACCCUACCCCUUGGGUCGAGCCCAGCGGGAGCAAACUGGACCAUCCAGAUGUCAAUCAACAUGUGGUGCGAUUCCCCUAGCCAACCAACAGAGUCAGACCCGAGACCUCUCUGAUACCAAAUGUAAGCUCCUGAGUUUGGAUUUCCCGGGAGGUCACCCAUCCUAGUACUAUU
rnacentral:lncRNA from 1 species